rnacentral:rRNA from 1 species
UACGUAGGGUGCAAGCGUUGUCCGGAAUCAUUGGGCGUAAAGCGCGCGUAGGUGGCUUCGUAAGUCCGUUGUGAAAGUCAAAGGCUCAACCUUUGAAUGCCGAUGGAUACUGCGAAGCUAGAGUACGGAAGAGGCGAGUGGAAUUCCUGGUGUAGCGGUGGAAUGCGCAGAUAUCAGGAGGAACACCGGUGGCGAAGGCGGUUCUCUGGGCAUUACCUGACGCUGAGGAGCGAAAGUGUGGGGAGCGAACAGG